AGCUCAGAGGGCAGGUUCCUCAGAGGUCAGGUUUCAUGCUCAAGGUGACUCGGCCUCUUCAGGUGUCGAACUAGCAUCCCAAGCUCAAGUUCUCCCAACAAAGGACUAAGACGGCAGCAGCACCGAACUGAGACCCAGAGCUCA